UUGCAUACAUCUGUCAUUUUCCAAGGAGUGACACUUAAUGUUUAUGGUUAUUCUGGAACCCUAGAUUGCCAUAAUGCUUUUGCCUUGCUUGUGAGGCCACCAACAGAGCAGGCAAAUGUGCUGCUCAGUUUCCAGAUGACAUCAGAUGAACUUCCAAAAGAAAACUGGCUAAAGAUGCUGUGUCGACAUGUAGCUAACACCAUUUGUAAAGCAGAUGCUGAGAAUCUUAUUUAUACGGCUGAUCCAGAAUCCUUUGAAGUAAAUACAAAAGAUAUGGACAGUACAUUGAGUAGAGCAUCAAGAGCAAUAAAAAAGACUUCAAAAAAGGUUACAAGAGCAUUCUCUUUCUCCAAAACUCCAAAAAGAGCUCUUCGAAGGGCUCUUAUGACAUCCCAUGGCUCAGUGGAGGGAAGAAGUCCUUCCAGCAAUGAUAAGCAUGUAAUGAGUCGUCUUUCUAGCACAUCAUCAUUAGCAAUUACCCAUUCUGUUUCCACAAGCAAUGUAAUUGGAUUUACUAAGCAUGUUUAUGUUCAGUGCCUAAACUCUACUGGUGGGCGCUCUCAGUACUCCUGGUUUCAAUCUGUACGUCAUUCUGCUUUCCGAGCUAGUUUUUCAGAGAUACUAGAAGGAAAUACUGAUUUUUCAAAUUUCAAAAAAGUUCUUUCCAAGUCAUCUUUGACAUUUGUGAAGAAUUAGGAGAUUUGCCAACCACUAAUGGAAACAAGCCUCAUGAAGUUUAAUGGUAUCCCUUCUCCCUCCCUUGUCAGCCUUCCUUCCUUCUUUGAAAGGAGAAGUCAUACGUUAAGUAGAUCUACAACUCAUUUGAUAUGAAGCGUUACCAAAAUCUUAAAUUAUAGAAAUGUAUAGACACCUCAUACUCAAAUAAGAAACUGACUUAAAUGGUA
rnacentral:sRNA from 1 species